rnacentral:rRNA from 1 species
ACUUAAAUUGAAGAGUUUGAUCAUGGCUCAGAUUGAACGCUGGCGGCAGGCCUAACACAUGCAAGUCGAGCGGUAGCACAGAGAGCUUGCUCUCGGGUGACGAGCGGCGGACGGGUGAGUAAUGUCUGGGAAACUGCCUGAUGGAGGGGGAUAACUACUGGAAACGGUAGCUAAUACCGCAUAAUGUCGCAAGACCAAAGUGGGGGACCUUCGGGCCUCAUGCCAUCAGAUGUGCCCAGAUGGGAUUAGCUAGUAGGUGGGGUAACGGCUCACCUAGGCGACGAUCCCUAGCUGGUCUGAGAGGAUGACCAGCCACACUGGAACUGAGACACGGUCCAGACUCCUACGGGAGGCAGCAGUGGGGAAUAUUGCACAAUGGGCGCAAGCCUGAUGCAGCCAUGCCGCGUGUGUGAAGAAGGCCUUCGGGUUGUAAAGCACUUUCAGCGGGGAGGAAGGCGGUGAGGUUAAUAACCUCAUCGAUUGACGUUACCCGCAGAAGAAGCACCGGCUAACUCCGUGCCAGCAGCCGCGGUAAUACGGAGGGUGCAAGCGUUAAUCGGAAUUACUGGGCGUAAAGCGCACGCAGGCGGUCUGUCAAGUCGGAUGUGAAAUCCCCGGGCUCAACCUGGGAACUGCAUUCGAAACUGGCAGGCUAGAGUCUUGUAGAGGGGGGUAGAAUUCCAGGUGUAGCGGUGAAAUGCGUAGAGAUCUGGAGGAAUACCGGUGGCGAAGGCGGCCCCCUGGACAAAGACUGACGCUCAGGUGCGAAAGCGUGGGGAGCAAACAGGAUUAGAUACCCUGGUAGUCCACGCUGUAAACGAUGUCGAUUUGGAGGUUGUGCCCUUGAGGCGUGGCUUCCGGAGCUAACGCGUUAAAUCGACCGCCUGGGGAGUACGGCCGCAAGGUUAAAACUCAAAUGAAUUGACGGGGGCCCGCACAAGCGGUGGAGCAUGUGGUUUAAUUCGAUGCAACGCGAAGAACCUUACCUGGUCUUGACAUCCACAGAACUUUCCAGAGAUGGAUUGGUGCCUUCGGGAACUGUGAGACAGGUGCUGCAUGGCUGUCGUCAGCUCGUGUUGUGAAAUGUUGGGUUAAGUCCCGCAACGAGCGCAACCCUUAUCCUUUGUUGCCAGCGGUUAGGCCGGGAACUCAAAGGAGACUGCCAGUGAUAAACUGGAGGAAGGUGGGGAUGACGUCAAGUCAUCAUGGCCCUUACGACCAGGGCUACACACGUGCUACAAUGGCAUAUACAAAGAGAAGCGACCUCGCGAGAGCAAGCGGACCUCAUAAAGUAUGUCGUAGUCCGGAUUGGAGUCUGCAACUCGACUCCAUGAAGUCGGAAUCGCUAGUAAUCGUAGAUCAGAAUGCUACGGUGAAUACGUUCCCGGGCCUUGUACACACCGCCCGUCACACCAUGGGAGUGGGUUGCAAAAGAAGUAGGUAGCUUAACCUUCGGGAGGGCGCUUACCACUUUGUGAUUCAUGACUGGGGUGAAGUCGUAACAAGGUAACCGUAGGGGAACCUGCGGUUGGAUCACCUCCUUACCUUAAAGAA